CCUACGGGGGGCAGCAGUAGGGAAUAUUGCUCAAUGGGGGAAACCCUGAAGCAGCAAAGCCGCGUGGGGGAUGAAGGUUUUCUGAGUGGAAACUCCUUUUGUUAGAGAAGAUAAUGACGGUAUCUAACGAAUAAGCACCGGCUAAAUCCGUGCCAGCAGCCGAGGUAAUACGGAGGGUGCAAGCGUUACUCGGAAUCACUGGGCGUAAAGAGGGCGUAGGCGGGAUAGCAAGUCAGAUGUGAAAUCCUAUGGCUUAACCAUAGAACAGCCUUUGAAACUGUUAUUCUAGAGUAUGGGAGAGGUAGGUGGAAUUCUUGGUGUAGGGGUAAAAUCCGUAGAGAUCAAGAGGAAUACUCAUUGCGAAGGCGACCUGCUAGAACAUAACUGACGCUGAUGCGCGAAAGCGUGGGGAGCAAACAGGAUUAGAUACCCGAGUAGUC
rnacentral:rRNA from 1 species